rnacentral:lncRNA from 1 species
ACCCCAUACCUUCAUCUGACUUGAGAGGGACAAAUUGAGGGAGGAAGAUCGACGGACAAAGGAGAGGUGAACACACUCACAGGCGGCGGCCUCUUCGAGAAAUCUCGAGAGCAGCAAUGGCGAUUUCCAGAUUAGGCGGAGGAGAGGUUUUCACGGAUGAAGAUCUCGUAGGCAGUGGCGCGAAGGUCGGCAUCGGAGAGUGUGGCGGCGGGGUGAAGCAGCAGGUAGCGGAGGAAGGGAGAUUGGCGGGGGGUGAAGCAGGAGAUGGCGGAGGCGACGAGGCCGAGGCGGCGGCGCUUCGCCGGCGAUCUGAGCUCGUCGAAGGGAGGGAGGGAGAGAGAGAGAGAGAGGGAGAAGGGGGAAGGGAGUGUAUCGUGAGGAGAAGAGAGAGAAAGAGAGUGGAGAGAGAGAGUACAUAUAUUUAAAGGAGGGUAUUUUUGUCUUUUCAAUCAAAAAGUGGACAG